rnacentral:lncRNA from 1 species
CUUCUCUUUGCCUGCUGCCAUCCAUGUUAGUAAGAUAUGACUUGCUCCUCCUUGGCUUCCACCAUGAUUGUGAGGCCUCACCAGCCAUUUGGAACUGUCCUCAUCAAGUGCAGAAUGAAGUGCAAUCUCCCUAGCACACACUCGAGAGUCUUCAGUCGUCUUACUCCUGCGCACUUCUUCAAUUUAAACCUCUACCAUGACUUUUCCCUUACUCCAUUCUCUUGGAACCCGAAACAUCUUCACCCAGACUAUGCUCUGUUGGCUUUGGGUAUUUUAUGUGUAUUUAGUAACCACUAUGCAGGAGAAGAAUUAGCAAAAGCAAUUACUAGAAUAUUUUAAUUACAAUCCUAUCAAAGACAAACUUUGGUUUAACUGCAGUAUGUUUUCUUAUUUGAAGUGCAAACAGACAAAGAGAGAAAAUUCAUGCUUGAAUUUUCACAGAUACAUUUGGAUUUCACAUUCUGUUUUUUAAAAGCAGAAAUGUGGACUGGUUGAUAGCAAUAAUUAGAGCACUGGGCUUUUAUAAGAUUUUUGUUUUCAGUUUUGAAUGUUAU